rnacentral:ncRNA from 2 species
CCGAGUUUACAACUCCCAAACCCAAUGUGAACGUUACCAAACUGUUGCCUCGGCGGGAUCUCUGCCCCGGGUGCGUCGCAGCCCCGGACCAAGGCGCCCGCCGGAGGACCAACCAAAACUCUUAUUGUAUACCCCCUCGCGGGUUUUUUUAUAAUCUGAGCCUUCUCGGCGCCUCUCGUAGGCGUUUCGAAAAUGAAUCA